rnacentral:guide_RNA from 1 species
AUGACAAACCACGUAGAUGUAGAUAUAGUAAGUGAUUAUA